CUUGACCGAGCCGAGCCACAGCGGCUCGCCGUCAGGCCGGUCCUGGCCGUAGGUGGCCAGCAGGGCCUGGGCCUC
rnacentral:antisense_RNA from 1 species